AAGGACGCCUCUUGCCCCUUAAGCACAUUUGCUGAACUUGUACCUUACUGGUUGGCUCGNCGGUCACGCGGGCCUCACUCACAGAGGGCCCUCACCUAAACACGAUCAGCCCGCCGGCGGCCAAGCUUAACUCUAUGUAUUUUACACUGAAACUCUGACAAAUAAAUCAUAAAUGAUGUCAAAACUUUCAACAACGGAUCUCUUGGUUCUGGAUUCCAUGAAUAACGCAUCGAAAUGCAAUAAGUAAUGUGAAUUGCAGAAUUCAGUGAAUCAUCAAAUCUUGNAACGCCCAUUGCGCCCUCUGGUAUUCCGGAGGGCAUGCCUGUUCAAGCGUCAUUUCAACCCUCAAGCCUGGCUUGCUGAUGGGCCACUGGUUGUUCGAGGGAUCCGGCCCAGAAAUGUACUGGCAAGCUCUGCCGGACCCCCAGCGAACCACUUAAACCCUCNCUCUGUAAGGCCCUGGCUGUGCCCUGCAGGUACACCCCCAACUCNUGAAAAUUUUACCUCGAAGCAGGUAUGAAUACCCGCUGAACUUAACCAUAUCAAUAAGGCGAAGGAAUAAGCCGGAGGAA
rnacentral:rRNA from 1 species